GAUUUCUUCAUUUUAUUUCACUUGAUAUUUCACCCAUUUUACGGGCGGCGGCGCAGGAGGAAAACAAGGGCGGCGGCCGGCCCGCAGCCGACUGAGAGCGAGAGAGCUGGACGGCCGGCCGGACGGUUUAUAUGCUAGAGAACAAGGAGUGCAAGGCACAAGAGACAUAACAGAAGUGACUUGGAAAUCAGCUCAUGCGGUUCAUGAAGCCCAUUCACUUCAGUUGGCUUAAUAGCCUUAAAAAGCUUAACAAACGGGGGUGAUGCAGCGUACCAGCAUGAAAAUCAGCUACGCGACGCAUCGCUCCUAUUUUACGGGACUGGGCAGCUACGUAGCGUGCACGCUGACCAUUGCCACGAUUCCCCUGCACGUGUACCUGAUGUCUCUGGCCGCACCACGCAAGCCUGAUGUCUCUGACCGCAGCACGUGUACCUGAUGUCUCUGGCCGCACCACGCAAGCCUGAUGUCUCUGACCGCAGCACGUGUACCUGAUGUCUCCGACCGCACCACGCAAGCCUGAUGUCUCUGACCGCACCACGCGAGCCACACGUCUCUGACCGUACCACGCAAGCCUGAUGUCUCUGACCGCACCACGUGUGCCUGAUGUCUCUGGCCGUACCACGCGAGCUACAUGUCUCUGACCGCACCACGCGAGCCACACGUCUCUGACCACACCACGCAAGCCUGAUGUCUCUGACCGCACCACACGAGCCACAUGUCUCUGACCGCACCUCGCGAGCCUGAUGUCUCUGACCACACCACGCAAGCCUGAUGUCUCUGACCACACCACGCGAGCCACACGUCUCUGACAGCACCACGGAAGCCUGAUGUCUCUGACCGCACCACGCGAGCCACAUGUCUCGGACCGCGCCACGUGUGCCUGACGGUCGGAC